CCUACGGGAGGCAGCAGUGAGGAAUAUUGGUCAAUGGGCGCGAGCCUGAACCAGCCAAGUCGCGUGAGGGAAGACGGCCCUACGGGUUGUAAACCUCUUUUGCCGGGGAGCAACGGGCGCCCAGGGUGGCGCCACUGAGAGUACCCGGAGAAAAAGCAUCGGCUAACGCCGUGCCAGCAGCCGCGGUAAUACGGAGGAUGCGAGCGUUAUCCGGAUUUAUUGGGUUUAAAGGGUGCGUAGCAGGAGCGUUAAGUCAGUGGUCAAAUUGAGGGGCUCAACCCCUUCCCGCCAUUGAAACUGGCGCUCUUGAGUGGAAGAGAAGUAUGCGGAAGGCGUGGUGUAGCGGUGAAAUGAAUAGAUAUCACGCAGAACCCCGAUUGCGAAGGCAGCAUGCCGGCUUCCUACUGACGCUGAAGCACGAAAGCGUGGGGAUCGAACAGGAUUAGAUACCCGGGUAGUC
rnacentral:rRNA from 1 species